AAAAUGGUGGGGACGACUCGAAGCGCCGCGGAAGGGGAUGCUGAUCCUUAGUGAUAUUUUUCCAAGCGAGAUUCCAGAGAAACGUAACAUAUUCAUGGAGGCAAACAUUCUUACUUUAAACUUCUCAGAAUUUUUGGAGUUCCUAGAAAUUCAAGAUACCUAACACUGUAAAGGAAUCCAUAUGAAAUUGAAAUGGAAUUGACAUUGCAAGGCAGAUCUGGAGGCACAAGGAGUAGGAGAAUGGAAGGAAGCUGAAUUUAUUCAUGGUAUAUUUACUACAGAUAGUCAAUUUUUGUAAUUUCCACAAGUUAUCAUAAGAUCCUCAAGUUCAGUUUUGAUGUCUGCAUUACAUGUAAAGAUAUGCAAUUAUUGCAUUUGCAAAGUCCAGUAGCUUUCAUCUGUUUUCAUACUGAGACAGCUGCAUGAAGGUAGAUUAACCCCUGUGAGAUUACAGUUAUACCCAGUAUAUCAUUUUGCAGUCCUUCCGUUUAAGAU
rnacentral:lncRNA from 1 species